UGUUGUUCCAUAUGGUGCACAAGGAUUUGGUCUUUUAAGGGACCACAUGUGAGUAUUAACUUACCAGAGAGACAGCAAAGCUGCACACAGCGUUAGCAAUGUGCUCCUUCAUUUCCAUGUACUGUGAUAUAUUAUUUUUUCCUCCUCAUUUGCAGUAAUUUAAAGAUUGAUGCAUAGUAAUUAAGUGCAGCUUAUAAUGGGACUAUUUUCGUUUAAAUGCGUAUCUAAAUCUUCAGUGAAAGUGUACUUAGAGAUGGUAUUUCUAAUAGGGAGUUUCUUUUCAUUAUUUCUGCUGUUUAACUGGCAAUUAGACAUCAGCCUCUGUUGGCUUUCUUCACCAACCCACACCUCUGGGAUGGACACUCUGUAAAGCAAGGCUUGGUGUGAGCACAGUGAGGGGUGCUGUGUUUCAGCAGGGGUGACAGCAGCAAUGGGUCACCUCCUGUGGCACUGAUUUUUACAAGCACACCAUGCAGGUUCUUGUUUAUUGCUGGCACAAAUGCACAACUAAUGGCAAUGCAGGGGAAAUGCUGAGUCACAGCUGGGAGCAGUGAUGGAGCACCUGGUGGAAGGCAGGGCCAACCCAGGGAGCUCAGGUGCAAGCAAUGUACCUGAGUGACUGGAAGGGGUGGAGCCAGGAUCCAACCCUUCCUAGAUAGACCUCAUUUAAGGGUUGGUCAUAGAGGUGAGUGGCUCUCAUCUAAUAUCUCCACCUACCUAAGGAUUGUAUGGGCCUUCCUGAGCCACAAACCCAGAAUUUAGAGCAGCGUGUAACUUCUGUGCAGCUGGAACUCUUCUGCCUCUUCAUCAAUUCAAGCAGUCUUGCCCCAGAUCUCUGCUGCCUUUGGCUUUCAGCAAAAACCCAGCCUUCACCACAGGGGACAGAUUUGGGGAUGCUCAAGAGAAUAGCAGUAAAUGCGGACGGCUGCCUGGCUGUAUGUGCGCACCUUUAGUGACAAUCACAAUGACAUUAAGGAGUGAUUUCCAUGCACAGCAUCACUAGUGCUCACAGCCAUGCUCUACCUGGGCCACACAGAUGGGAACUGAGCGCAAAUCAUGGCAAAAUGGGGCAAGUGGCUUGAAGUGCCAACUGAUGGGGGAGCUGGGAUGGCUCUGUCUGGAGCAGAGGAGCUCAGGGGAGACCUCAUUGCUCCCUGCAGCUCCUGAGAAGA